GAACUACGGAGGGGUAUAUGUAGGUCUGCCAUCUGAAGCUGUCAAUAUGAUAUCUAAUCAAACAAAGACUGUACGCAAAAAUUAGAAGAAAAUAUCAUGACUCAAUAAUCAAGAGCUUGCUCAUUGAGAUUUGGAAGGAAUUGCAUUCCAUGGGACAUCAUAAUGUGUACAGAAAUUUCCAAGGAAAUUCUAAAUAGUCUCCUGCUCCGCCUCCCCUCUCCACCCAAAUUCUUAAGUCUGUAAUUGAAACCAUGGGUACAUGUUGAAUGUUGUACUAGAAAGGAAUCAGGUCAACAAUACACGGGUAUAUGGAACUUUCUGGGGUCCUUCUGUGAAAGACAAGGUGACAAACUGCUAUCUGGAGCUAGCCUGCUGUGUCUGGCAGGACUUGUUCCCUGGCCAUUCAGUACAGCUCAUGAAGAUCAUGUCUUUUCACUGAUACUUUUUUGAUAGUUUUUAUAUAACAAAAUCCUUAUUCUAUUUAUAACUUCAGAUAAGAAGGCACUAUAAAUGAAUCCCUAACGUAAUAUAUUUGUGGGUUACCUUUCA